UUGUUGAGGCACCUCAGGAAACCGCGGGAAGCGCGCUUGGUGUUUUCGAACAGCUCCACGAGCAGUUGUGCUUCUGCAAUCAAGGCAGCAGACAGAACGGAGACAGGAAAAGGUGAUGCCUGAGCUGAAGUGAACAACUCAGGGCAGUGGAAACACAGGACGUGAGACAUCAGAGGCAGAUGAUAGGAAAUGGUCUCGGAGCAGCAACCUGGGGAGAACACAGAUAUGCCCAAACGUGCCAGAAGUCUGUCUGAGACAAAAGCUGAGCUCCACGUGUCCUUCCAUUAAGAUGUAUUGAAAUAUUGCAGUCUGUGAUGCAUAUUUUGAGUAUGGCACUGAAGCCUCCAGUUCAGCUAACAAGAGAGAAGUACAUAGACAUGCAACACAAACAAAUCCUAAAUCCUAGCUCAGCAUCUCUGGA